GGUCUGGUGAUCCGUCUACUUGUCACCUUCCUGUUGGUUCAUUAUGGAGGAUUCAACCUAAAAGAGAAGCUCUUCAUUUCUGUGGCCUGGCUGCCUAAAGCUACUGUGCAGGCUGCCAUUGGCUCCAAGGCAUUGGACAUGGCGAGGGAGGAAGGGGACGAGGCCUUAAUUAAGUUUGGUUUGGACGUGCUAACCUUAGCGGUGUUAGCCAUCUUGACCACAGCUCCAGUUGGUGCACUGGGUAUCGGACUGGCAGGACCACGUCUCCUGGCCCGGCAGGUCAAAGAAGAGACAGAAGGUGAAGCUACACCAUCUUACCUGUGAGAGUAUUACACCAUCUUAUCCACCUUAUACUUGUAAUCAAAUAAUUGUUGAAUCAUUGUAUGGCCAUAGGCCACAUUAUGCCUUUGAUUAAAGGUUGUGAAAUCAUUACACUGUUUUAUGAUGCAUUAUACUGCUGAGUUAUAAGAAAUGCUGUUUGUGUAGAAUCAUGGCCUUCCUUUUCUGAUUACAAAGAGAACAGAACAUACUGUAGAGUUUUUCUGCCCCAUCUCAUCAGGAGGAGAUAAGACAGGAAGCCAAGGCCGUCACUUAGGCGCUGUAAGAUAGAAAGAAUGUGAGGGUUUAGGCUUUAUGGCCCUGAAGGGAAGGGGAAAAAGCUGUAAGAGUCUGUAACUGUUGGACACUUCGAGAUGUUGCCAGACACCCUCCUGUGCACAUCUCCCGUCUGGACAUCGGUAAUGCUCAAAGUGUUGUAUAGAAAGAAUUGUAUAGAAUAAAGAGAUUUUUGAUUGAGCAUUUAUACACCAUUUAUACACCGAGUGUUGUUCUUCCUUCAGCCCAAAAAUGAAAGAAUUGGGGUAUUUAACAUACUGCAACGGGGCCGUUCAAGAAAAAGACAGCUUAAAAAACUCCUUAUAUACAAACUGUAUAUGCAAUAUAUUGGUAUGUCCACACAUAAUGUAAAUGAUAAUCAGAGUUUAGCUGCAGUUCAUUUAUAUAUACUGGCUGUAGGUUUCUCCUAUUGUCUCAUAUACUCAGGUUAGAAACUGUAAAUUUGCAAAUGUUCAUAUUUUUAUUAGGCUAUUAUUAGUAAAGCAAAUGUGUUAAAAGUACUGAUAUAUUCUGUGUUAUUACAUUUGACAUAUUUCAGCUAUUUUACAAUCCUUUGAAAUGAACUCUGUUUGCUAAGCGUCACAUGUCUGAGCUACACCGGUCUUAUAUAUACUGGUGGAAAACCCCCAUUUUUGUAUGAACAAACAUGGGAGUUUGUUCAUACAACGUCACAUGUUGGUGACGCCCUUCUACAAGGCCGUCACCAACAUGUCCUUUGUAGUGUUGUAAACUAUACUAUGUUGACUUUUAUGCAGCAUUUGUUUUUGUUAAUCCAAUUAUUAAUUUUACAUUACACUAUGAUGUUAUCAGCUCAUUACCAGUGACAGUAUGUGUUUUACAAAGCAAUC